rnacentral:misc_RNA from 1 species
GUAACAAGGUUUCCGUAGGUGAACCUGCGGAAGGAUCAUUAUCGAACGAAACGCUUCUGGCUUUAUGCUGUUGUGCUGGCCGUUUGGGCAACGUGCACGCAGCUCUGGUCGGUUGUUUCUUCUGUUCCACCUGUGCACUGCCUGUAGACACCCAGUGUCUAUGAUAUUUCUUACACACACAUGAUGUUAGUUGGCAUGUUUUAUGAUAAUAAAUAUACAACUUUCAACAACGGAUCUCUUGGCUCUCGCAUCGAUGAAGAACACAGCGAAAUGUGAUAAGUAAUGUGAAUUGCAGAAUCCAGUGAAUCAUCGAAUCUUUGAACGCAUCUUGCGCUCCUUGGCAUUCCGAGGAGCAUGCCUGUUUGAGUGUCAUUAAACUAUCAAAACACUUAUUUUGUUGAGGUGUUUUGGACUUUGGGAGUGCUGGUCUCUUUUUUCGAGCCGGCUUUCCUCAAAAGCCUUGCUUUGGAGACCAUCAGCGUGAUAAUUUUUUUUUGUUUAUGCCGCUGGCUCCUCCUUCUGUCCCUUUUGACCUCAAAUCAGGUAGGACUACCCGCUGAACUUAAGCAUAUCAAUAAGCGGAGGA